CGUAGGGUGCAAGCGUUAAUCGGAAUUACUGGGCGUAAAGCGUGCGCAGGCGGUUUUGUAAGUCAGAUGUGAAAGCCCCGGGCUUAACCUGGGAACUGCGUUUGAAACUACAAGGCUAGAGUGUGGCAGAGGGGGUGGAAUUCCACGUGUAGCAGUGAAAUGCGUAGAGAUGUGGAGGAACACCGAUGGCGAAGGCAGCCCCCUGGGUUAACACUGACGCUCAGGCACGAAAGCGUGGGGAGCAAACAGGAUU
rnacentral:rRNA from 1 species